AACGAACGCUGGCGGCAGGCUUAACACAUGCAAGUCGAACGCCCCGCAAGGGGAGUGGCAGACGGGUGAGUAACGCGUGGGAACGUGCCCUUCGCUUCGGAAUAGUCCCGGGAAACUGGGUUUAAUACCGGAUACGCCGUAUUGGGAAAGAUUUAUCGGCGAAGGAUCGGCCCGCGUUAGAUUAGGUAGUUGGCGGUGUAAUGGACCACCAAGCCUACGAUCUAUAGCUGGUCUGAGAGGAUGAUCAGCCACACUGGGACUGAGACACGGCCCAGACUCCUACGGGAGGCAGCAGUGGGGAAUCUUGGACAAUGGGCGCAAGCCUGAUCCAGCCAUGCCGCGUGAGUGAAGAAGGCCUUAGGGUUGUAAAACUCUUUCGCCGGAGAAGAUAAUGACGGUAUCCGGAGAAGAAGCCCCGGCUAACUUCGUGCCAGCCGCCGCGGUAAAAC
rnacentral:rRNA from 1 species